rnacentral:rRNA from 1 species
ACGAACGCUGGCGGCGUGCCUAAUACAUGCAAGUCGAACGCUUCUUUCCUCCCGAGUGCUUGCACUCAAUUGGAAAGAGGAGUGGCGGACGGGUGAGUAACACGUGGGUAACCUACCCAUCAGAGGGGGAUAACACUUGGAAACAGGUGCUAAUACCGCAUAACAGUUUAUGCCGCAUGGCAUAAGAGUGAAAGGCGCUUUCGGGUGUCGCUGAUGGAUGGACCCGCGGUGCAUUAGCUAGUUGGUGAGGUAACGGCUCACCAAGGCCACGAUGCAUAGCCGACCUGAGAGGGUGAUCGGCCACACUGGGACUGAGACACGGCCCAGACUCCUACGGGAGGCAGCAGUAGGGAAUCUUCGGCAGUGGACGAAAGUCUGACCGAGCAACGCCGCGUGAGUGAAGAAGGUUUUCGGAUCGUAAAACUCUGUUGUUAGAGAAGAACAAGGACGUUAGUAACUGAACGUCCCCUGACGGUAUCUAACCAGAAAGCCACGGCUAACUACGU